rnacentral:snRNA from 1 species
GGAUGGGAGGGCAAUCUGGCUGUGACAUCUGUCACCCCAUUGAUUGCCAGGGUUGAUUCAGCUCAUCUGGCUGGCUAGGCGGGUGUCCCCUUCCUCAGUCACCACUCCAUGUGCAUCCCUCCCGAAGCUGAGCGCUUGGUCGAAGAGGAUAACCUUCCCUGAUACAGGAGGACCAUUCUUAGGUCAAGGGUAUACGAGUAGAGUAGCUGCACUCCCCUGAUAGAGCCUCCAAACAAGCUCUCAAGGUCCACUUGUUUUAGAACGUAGAGCAGUCAAGCUUCCAAGACUCCAGACACAUCCCAAUGAGGUGCUGCAUGUGGCAGUCUGCCUUUCAAA